AGCAGUCGCCGCGGUAAUACGUAGGUGGCAAGCGUUGUCCGGAAUUAUUGGGCGUAAAGGGCUCGCAGGCGGUUUCUUAAGUCUGAUGUGAAAGCCCCCGGCUCAACCGGGGAGGGUCAUUGGAAACUGGGAAACUUGAGUGCAGAAGAGGAGAGUGGAAUUCCACGUGUAGCGGUGAAAUGCGUAGAGAUGUGGAGGAACACCAGUGGCGAAGGCGACUCUCAGGUCUGUAACUGACGCUGAGGAGCGAAAGCGUGGUGAGCGAACAGGAUUAGAUACCCCUGUAGUCCCUGUCUCUUAUAC
rnacentral:rRNA from 1 species